GUGGAUUAGAUACCCUGGUAGUCCAUGCCGUAAACGUUGGGCACUAGGUGUGGGACCCAUUCCACGGGUUCCGUGCCGCAGCUAACGCAUUAAGUGCCCCGCCUGGGGAGUACGGCCGCAAGGCUAAAACUCAAAGGAAUUGACGGGGGCCCGCACAAGCGGCGGAGCAUGCGGAUUAAUUCGAUGCAACGCGAAGAACCUUACCAAGGCUUGACAUACACCGGAAACAUCCAGAGAUGGGUGCCCCGCAAGGUCGGUGUACAGGUGGUGCAUGGCCGUCGCCAACU
rnacentral:rRNA from 1 species